AAGUGACAAUCUGAAACUGUGAGUCAUCUGCCAUAUGCAUGUAGAUCUGGGACGUGGGAGGGCAUUGUGUAUGUGUGUGUGUGUCUUUAUCUGUCUUACCCUCUGAGGAGCUGCCAGGAGAGUCUGGCCUGCUGGAGAGGUUAGCCAUUCGCUGUAGGGCCAAAACAGCCUUGCCAGUUUUCUAGAAGUUUAAAAGGGAAAAAUUGCACUGAAUGACAGACUAGACUCAUAACCAGGCUUCAGGUCUGUACAGGACAAUGACAUUAAAAAAAGCCAUCAUGAGGAAGCACUGAUAAGAAAAGUAUUCAUGUGCUAGCACAGGCAUGGGCAAACUACGGCCCCAGGGCCACAUAUGGCCCCUUUGGGCUUUUCAAUCCAGCCCGCGAAAUAAUUUGGUCAAUAUUAGAAUUGACGAAAUUACAGUAAAGACCACAUUCAUUUGGCCUUGUCCUGCAGAACCCGGCGUUUCUGUUGACCCCACUAGAUGGCGCACUCCAGACACAAGUGACCUUUGUUGAUUUAUUCUCUCUUCUUCUACUUUGCAACUGCAUUGAGCUGCUGUAACAAGGAGCGGAUCAAAGAAAAGAAAAGUCGACAGUGAGUGUCGAGUGUUUCAGAAGGAGUGGACUACUAAAUAUUUUUCGCUAAAGUCCGUUCAAAGGCUGUAUGUCUUAUUUGCAAUGAAACCGUUGCGGUUUUUAAAGAAUACAAUAUCAGCCGACACUUUUCCACAAAGCAUGCUAACUAUGCUAGCAACCAGUUAGCACAAGAACGGACAGCUACGGCUCAGAGGUUAGCAGCCAGUUUACACACUCAGCAAAAUACUUUCUUCCACAAACUACGAUUCAAGAGUCAAGCACGAAGGCAAGUUAUUUGCUAGCAUUCAAAAUAGCAAAGGCUAGCAAGCCUUUCUCCGAAGGGGAGCUUUGGAAAGAAUGUAUGGUAGAGACAGCAGGUCUCCUGUUUAGAGAGCAGAAACAAAUUUGAAAAAAUUAGUUUAUCACGCAGAACAGUUACUCGCCGUGUUGAACUAAUCUGUGGAGACUUAGCCAGCUCACUGAACGAAAAAGCAGAGUCCUUCAAGUUAUAUUCAUUAGCACUGGACGAAAGUAAUGGCAUAAAAGACACUGCUCAGCUUUUUAUUAGAGGGAUUAAUGACAACUUUGAGACAACAGAGGAAUUUUUGACCAUGAAAUCCAUGAAGGGGGAAACACGAGCAGAGGACUUGUACGACAGGGUGUCUGGGGCCAUCGAGAGGCUGAAGCUGCCGAAACAGCACCUCAGGAGUUGCAGUUGGAGCUGAUCGAUCUUCAAAGUGACUCAGUCUUAAAGGAGAGAUUCAGCGCCCUUAAACUGAAUGACUUUGACGCAUCACUAAGUGAAGCCAAGUUUCCAAACAUUUGGAAGAUGGCACAGAGGAUGCUGGUGUUGUUCGGAUCUACCUACGUGUGUGAGCAGCCGUUUAGCGUGAUGAACAUCAACAAAGCACACCACAGAUCCCAGUAAAACCUCAGAUCUAUCCUGAGAAUUGCCACAACCAAAUUGACACCAGACUUUGAUGCACUGGCAAAAAAGGGUGACCAGCAACACUGUUCCCACGAAAACUGAAUAAUACGUGACUGUGACUCUCGCUGCGACCGUCGUCACCGCAGUUCAGCUUACAAGAUGAAGCAGAUGACUCCAAUGCUCCACAUGUCGGUCUCCAGGCCCACAGGCUCAUAGUUGAUCACCUCGGGGGCCACAAACUCAGGCGUACCGUGCAGCACCAUCAGAGGUUUACCCUCCUCUGCAAAACAAGACAAGAAAGAACUUCCUCAAAAUGUCCCUCCCAAUGUUUGACACAAAUGCACAGAGAUGGCAAAGAAGCUUUUUCUUACAGAUACAGCAAGACUCAAACCGGCAUUCUGUGGCAAACUAUACAAAUGUGUCACUCACUUGCAGUUGCCAUCUUCACAAAGUCGGACUCCUGGCUCGGUUCACUGGUCCCCGCCGAGUUGUAAGCUCUGACUCGGAAGCGGUACUGCCCCUGAGGUUCCAGGCCCGAGCGGAUGUGGUGGGACGUGUUCUUACAGCGGCUUAUUAGUUGAGUCCAGCUACUAGGACUGUCUGGACCUCCUUGACUGGCCUCUACGAUGUAACCCAACACAGCUGUGCCUCCGUCGUAGCUGGGACCAGUCCAGGACAGGACCAGGGAUGAGGUGGACAGCUGGGAAACAACAGGAUGGGAUGCUGGCGGAUCAGGCCGGUCUGACGAGAAACGAUGCAGAUGAAGCAGUGAAUCAAAGACAAUGAUAUUUGGAGUAUUUUCCUUAACUUGUGACAUGAGUUUGAAUGUUAUAUCAUGGUUCUGUGCUUCCAACUUUUACAUUCUAACCAUAUUUUCUAUCAUAGUUCUUUUUAUUAAGUUUGUCUGCAUCCCAACACCAUAGUAGUGAUCUCUAAAGACCUAAAUACUGAACUGAAGUGAAGCUUACCUAUGACACUGAGGGAAACUGUGUGCUGAGCGGAUCCGGUUCUGUUUCGUACAACAACAGUGUACAAUCCUGUGUCUUCUGGAACGGCGUGAGAGAUCUCAAUGCUGCUCUGUGUCUUGGUGCUGUUGACUGAAAUCCGUUGGCAUCCUGCUACCACCUGCAGAGGAACAAAGGUUAAAGUAUGCAUCAAGAGUUUCAAAGGCACAUGCUACCAAAUUACUGCUAAAUGCUAGCAACAGUUCAAACAUUCUCACCUUGUCUCUGUUGUAAAUCCAGCAACAGGCCACAGGUGUGGAGCUGCUCCUGAACUCACAGCGUAGUCGGGCCUGUUCGCCCACUCGAACCUCCACCUGCUCAGGUGGGUCCAGAAACUCCACCGGAGGCCCUGAGGAGAAGCAGUCAGGUUGUUUUCAAAAGAAAACCAACUUUAACUUCAUUCAGCUGCUUGGAUGAUGUGUUUUUUGCCGUUCACCUUUGCUGGUGGAGACUUUUGUUUGAGGGUUGUUAUCUUUGAUACCUGUGGAGACUGAAGAAGAUGGCAGAUUUACAGGUGCGCUCACUGAUUGGGGGAUUUAAGAAGCAACUGGCCAAUCACACAAAAGCAGCGGAAAACACUUCGGCAGGAGUUGCUGGACUCAAUUUUCAGUAACCAGAAAUGCUUGUGCAGAAGCUGAGGACAAUCCUGUGUUACCGAGUGACGCAGCCUUAGAUGUGACCUCAUGGUGGUUUGUACUGAGGAUUUCCUUUGUUGCUGUUCCAGUGUAAACAGAGUGACGCAGGUUUACUGUACACGGAUCAAUACAAUGCAGUUUUACUGAUAAUUACCAGUUAUUCUGUACAUAACGCUUUACCUGUGAU